AAUUCUCAACCCCUCCAGCUUUUGCGAGUUGUGAUGGGGCUUGGAUCUGGGAGUUUGCGGGUCCUUUAUCAAUAAAGGUCAGCUCUCCUGAAAUGCAUUAGCGGAACCGUUUGCAGUCCCGUCACUAGUGUGAUAAUUAUCUACACUGUGAUGAUUGCUCUCUGACUAGUUCAGCUGCUAAUCGUCCACUACGGACAACACUUAAUGAACU
rnacentral:misc_RNA from 1 species